UACGUAGGGUCCAAGCGUUGUCCGGAUUUAUUGGGCGUAAAGAGCUCGUAGGCGGUUCGGUAAGUCGGAUGUGAAAACUCAGGGCUCAACCCGGAGACGCCAUCCGAUACUGCCGUGACUGGAGUCUGGUAGGGGAUCACGGAAUACCUGGUGUAGCGGUGAAAUGCGCAGAUAUCAGGUGGAACACCGAUGGCGAAGGCAGUGAUCUGGGCCAGUACUGACGCUGAGGAGCGAAAGCGUGGGGAGCAAA
rnacentral:rRNA from 1 species